UACGUAGGGGGCAAGCGUUAUCCGGAUUUACUGGGUGUAAAGGGAGCGUAGACGGCAGCACAAGUCUGGAGUGAAAUCCCAUGGCUUAACCAUGGAACUGCUUUGGAAACUGUGCAGCUGGAGUGCAGGAGAGGUAAGCGGAAUUCCUAGUGUAGCGGUGAAAUGCGUAGAUAUUAGGAGGAACACCAGUGGCGAAGGCGGUCUGCUGGACAGCAACUGACGCUGAGGCGCGAAAGCGUGGGGAGCAAACAGG
rnacentral:rRNA from 1 species